GGCCUAUCAGCUUGUUGGUGGGGUGACGGCCUACCAAGGCGACGACGGGUAGCCGGCCUGAGAGGGUGUCCGGCCACACUGGGACUGAGAUACGGCCCAGACUCCUACGGGAGGCAGCAGUGGGGAAUAUUGCACAAUGGGCGCAAGCCUGAUGCAGCGACGCCGCGUGGGGGAUGACGGCCUUCGGGUUGUAAACCUCUUUCACCAUCGACGAAGGUCCGGGUUCUCUCGGAUUGACGGUAGGUGGAGAAGAAGCACCGGCCAACUACGUGCCAGCAGCCGCGGUAAUACGUAGGGUGCGAGCGUUGUCCGGAAUUACUGGGCGUAAAGAGCUCGUAGGUGGUUUGUCGCGUUGUUCGUGAAAUCUCACGGCUUAACUGUGAGCGUGCGGGCGAUACGGGCAGACUAGAGUACUGCAGGGGAGACUGGAAUUCCUGGUGUAGCGGUGGAAUGCGCAGAUAUCAGGAGGAACCCCGGUGGCGAAGGCGGGUCUCUGGGCAGUAACUGACGCUGAGGAGCGAAAGCGUGGGGAGCGAACAGGAUUAGAUACCCUGGUAGUCCACGCCGUAA
rnacentral:rRNA from 1 species